CCUACGGGAGGCAGCAGUGGGGAAUAUUGCACAAUGGGCGCAAGCCUGAUGCAGCCAUGCCGCGUGUAUGAAGAAGGCCUUCGGGUUGUAAAGUACUUUCAGCGGGGAGGAAGGCGAUAAGGUUAAUAACCUUGUCGAUUGACGUUACCCGCAGAAGAAGCACCGGCUAACUCCGUGCCAGCAGCCGCGGUAAUACGGAGGGUGCAAGCGUUAAUCGGAAUUACUGGGCGUAAAGCGCACGCAGGCGGUCUGUCAAGUCGGAUGUGAAAUCCCCGGGCUCAACCUGGGAACUGCAUUCGAAACUGGCAGGCUAGAGUCUUGUAGAGGGGGGUAGAAUUCCAGGUGUAGCGGUGAAAUGCGUAGAGAUCUGGAGGAAUACCGGUGGCGAAGGCGGCCCCUGGACAAAGACUGACGCUCAGGUGCGAAAGCGUGGGGAGCAAACAGGAUCAGAUACCCUGGUAGUCACGCCGUAGACGAUGUCAACUUUGGAGGUUGUGCCCUUGAGGCGUGGCUUCGGAACUACGCGUUAGUUCGACCGCCUUGGGGAAGUACGGCCGCAGGUUAAAACUCAAAAGGAAUUUGAC
rnacentral:rRNA from 1 species